UACUUUGUCUGUCCGGUUAGCGGAAAAUUCGUUGAAGAUACAGAACUGAGGAGAAAUAUGCAAUUUAAGGACAAGUUUUGCAGCAUAAUAAUGUGGCAUCAGCGCCACGCAAAUGAUCAUUAUUUAUGCUUUGGCAUCAGGAGAUGGAGACGGCAUCAUAAAAUUGUCAACUUUUUGUGUUUAAAAUCGCGAAAGUUGGCGAUUUAGUUUUGCUUUUGCGGUGCCUGUCUCAUGAUUUACGUGCGCGUAGUCGGCAGGGUGAAGUCGCAUUUUUGUAUCUGCUGGUUUGCCUGUCAGGUUUGCAAUUUUCUGUGUGUCCUUGAUUAAUUUUGUAUUAUAUUCUUAUUAAUUUUCCUUUCCUUACAGAUUAUCAGGAAAUCAUUGAAAAUACAGUAAUGAGGAAAUUUAUACAAUUUGGAGAAGGAUUUUAAUUCUUUUUAAUAUGAUGUCGGCUCCGGGAUAGUGAUCCUUUUUAGUGCAGUGGCAUCAGGAGGUGGAGACGGCGUCUUAGGAUUAUUUAUUUUUUGUGUUUAUAAUCGCGAAAAUUGGCGAUUUCGUUUUGUUUUUGCGACGCUCGCCACCUCUUGUCAGUUGCUUUAGAUGUGGAACAACAGUUGGUUGUGGUCAAGUAGGUUUUAGCGUCAGCUCUUAAAGGCGCUCGUCGAUCUGGAUUUUGAGAGUAGCAGGAAGGAUGGAUUUUGCAGCUCCGCGCUGGGUGCCCUGGUCGAAGCGUAGGCAGCUUUUGUGGCCCGUCUUUUGCAGCGCUGCAUUGCAGGUAGAUUGCAUCGGUGAUGCGGGAUACUGUCAGGGACCGUGUGGCGAGAAAGUUCAGGUAAGUGACGUUGUGCAUGAAUUGCUGCAGCGAGUCGCCUUUUAUUCAUCAUGUUUCUGCCACACUAAUCCUUUUUAUAUCGAUCUACCGAUUUUUCUUUUAUGUCCUGGUUGAUUUUCUCCUCAUCGUUUCGUCAGGAUCA